rnacentral:rRNA from 1 species
GAUGAACGCUGGCGGCGUGCCUAAUACAUGCAAGCCGAGCGAACAGACGAGGAGCUUGCUCCUCUGACGUUAGCGGCGGACGGGUGAGUAACACGUGGAUAACCUACCUAUAAGACUGGGAUAACUGCGGGAAACCGGAGCUAAUACCGGAUAAUAUAUUGAACCGCAUGGUUCAAUAGUGAAAGACGGUUUUGCUGUCACUUAUAGAUGGAUCCGCGCCGCAUUAGCUAGUUGGUAAGGUAACGGCUUACCAAGGCAACGAUGCGUAGCCGACCUGAGAGGGUGAUCGGCCACACUGGAACUGAGACACGGUCCAGACUCCUACGGGAGGCAGCAGUAGGGAAUCUUCCGCAAUGGGCGAAAGCUUGACGGAGCAACGCCGCGUGAGUGAUGAAGGUCUUCGGAUCGUAAAACUCUGUUAUUAGGGAAGAACAAAUGUGUAAGUAACUAUGCACGUCUUGACGGUACCUAAUCAGAAAGCCACGGCUAACUACGUG